UCAGUUUUGAUGGAGUUAAGUAUUUGAUUAAGGCUUAGGUUGGGAUUGAUUCCUGAUGUGUUUUUGGAGCUGCUUCUGCUUUUGGUUUCAGAAUAUAGUGUUUGGUAAAAUCUUUAAAAGAUGCUUUUGAUUGAAAUUGCUUCUCCGUAAAGCUGAAUUUGGGAAGCUACAAUUUGUAGCUUUUAAAGAACUGCUUUGGGAAAACACGGAGCAUGUACAGUAGAGAGUUUAAUGAAAUUUGUCUAACUGCCAAUUCUGUCCUCCUCCUUUUUUGAAAAUUACAUCGAAACAGCUAAAUCCAUCGCAAGGCAGUGAGAUUCCACAUCUCCUCCUUCCUCUUCUUCGUUGUCUGGUUCUCCCUCGUCUUCUCUCAGAUCACCUUCUUCCUCAGCUCAUCGCUGGUGACCUCCUUCAAUUCGUGGAUUGUCACCGCCUUCCUCUGCGCCUUCUUCUUCAGCUCGUCGUGGAUUGUCGCCGCCUUCCUCUACGCCGUCUUCUUCAGCUUGUUGUGGAUUCUGGCCGCCUUCCUCUGCGCCUUCUUCUUCAACUCGUCGCUGGUGACCUCCUUCAAUUCGUGGAUUCUCGUCACUGAAAGGGAAGCCAGCAUUGAACUGGCAACAUCAUCCCUAGAGACCAUCAACAAGGAGAAAAACGAGUGAGGUGUCAUGACACUUUUGUGCAGACAGAAUUGGAGGAAGCAACUUUUUCGACAACUUCCAUAACUCCCCACCACUAGGCUAACAGCUUUUCAGCAUACACAUGCUAAUAGACAUCAUCACCUAUUUUUGCCAAGCUGAUCAAGCAGUGAUUGUAACUAAGUUAGUCUGCAACUAGAACAACAUCUACGUUAGUGGAGAAAACUAUUUUUUGCAAGCUGUUCUAGCAGCAACUGUAACUAUGGCUUAGUUUGGGACUAUGACAACCUAUUUUUUGAACACUACCACAACAUCUGUAUUGGUGGUAAUGUUACUAGGACAUGAUUUGCAUCUUCUGUUAUAAAUGAUUUGCCGUCAGAAUAUUGUACUUUA